rnacentral:rRNA from 1 species
CCUACGGGAGACAGCAGUGAGGAAUAUUGGUCAAUGGGCGGAAGCCUGAACCAGCCAAGUCGCGUGAGGGAAUAAGGCCCUACGGGUCGUAAACCUCUUUUGCCGGGGAGCAAGGGCGGGGACGUGUCCCGGCCCGGAGAGUACCCGGAGAAAAAGCAUCGGCUAACUACGUGCCAGAAGCCGCGGUAAUACGGAGGAUGCGAGCGUUAUCCGGAUUUAUUGGGUUUAAAGGGUGCGUAGGCGGGCUUUUAAGUCAGCGGUAAAAAUUCGGGGCUCAACCCCGUCCGGCCGUUGAAACUGGGGGCCGUGAGUGGGCGAGAAGAAGGCGGAAUGCGUGGUGUAGCGGUGAGAUGCAUAGAUAUCACGCAGAACCCCGAGUGCGAAGGCAGCCUUCCGGCGCCCUACUGACGCUGAGGCACGAAAGUGCGGGGAUCGAACAGGAUUAGAUACCCGUGUAGUC